AUGCAUGAUUUAGGUAUGGGGGAGUUUGUUUGUAUUAUUGUAUUAAAAAAAUUCUCUUUUUUAGGAAAAUAUAGUAAAAACUGAAAAUUUUGAAAAUUUUAUUUGACUUUUUAUGAGUUGGAUUAACUCUAAUAAGUGUUUAUGGAGCAAAACUCAUGAGUACGAUUAAAAGGUUUAGAACUCUUGAACCUUUGAUUUAGAUAUGGAAUCUUAGUUUAAAAUACCAUCUGGAAUAAAAUUGAUUUCAUAAACAUUUUUACACUUCACGUUUGCACUAAUUCUUAGUUGUAAGGUAUAAAAUAUGAUUCGAGUAAUUUCAAAACAAAAAUGGAAAGAAAAAGUAAAUAAAAUAAAGUUGAAAAAGAAAAAGAAAUAAAUAACUGGUUCAAUGUCCAUUGAACGAAAUAACUGGGUAUCCAAACCUUAGAAAACAUUGAUAUUCACGUUGAAAAGUGUGAUGGAUAAAAGCAUUUUGGCUAGUCUAAUUUUGUGGCCUUUGUUACUCGAGUUAGUAAGCCCUUAGGGGUGUCUUUACACCUAGUGCCCUAAAGCUAAUUAGUUUGGGAGUCAUUGGUUCAACGCUCGCAACAUGGGUAACUCUGAAAAGCCUAAGAUAACGGGACAUUGCACAAGUCAAGAAAAGAAAAAUGAAAAAAGAAAAGAAAAAGAAAAAAACGAGUUUGCUUAAUUUUUAUGGUAAAAAUUCCUACUAAGAGUUACAUCAUAUACACAUGCAUGCAUUACAUGAAAUUAAUUUUAUGAAAGAUGGUGUCUAAAAUGAAGAUCGAGUAUUUUGAUAAGGUGAAAGUGUAAUUUUGAAUUUAAUCUUACUUAUGUAUAAUAUCCAUGUAUACUUAGUAGUUUUCUUUCUAUUUCAUAAUUGGUUAAACUCAAAAAGAUUUUAUUUUGAAUUUUGAAAUUUGAAUUUUGUGGGUAUAUUCACUGCAAACCCUCACAAG
rnacentral:lncRNA from 1 species